rnacentral:rRNA from 1 species
GAUCAUGGCUCAGGAUGAACGCUAGCUACAGGCUUAACACAUGCAAGUCGAGGGGCAGCAUGAACUUAGCUUGCUAAGUUUGAUGGCGACCGGCGCACGGGUGAGUAACACGUAUCCAACCUUCCGUUUACUCUGGGACAGCCUUUCGAAAGAAAGAUUAAUACCUGAUAGUAUGGUGAGAUUGCAUGAUAGCACCAUUAAAGAUUUAUUGGUAAACGAUGGGGAUGCGUUCCA